UCUCUAGCAAUCAGCCCGGGCAGCCAAACUAUCAAUCAUCCCCAAACAGUCAGGCCUUGAUUAAUAACUGACAGUAUCCCUAAGUUUUGUCCCCACUUCCAAUUUAGGAUCAGAUAAAGCCAAAUAUGCUCCCCUAACCAAUCACAUAGGAUGCCCUCUUCUACUUAGCCACCUCCAGUUUCCCUGCAAUCAGGGCAUACCCAAAGCCUUCCUUUUUUCCACUCUAAAGCUUUAUCACUCCACUGCCUUUGAAUCACAGUCAAAAUGCAAGGGAUAGUAGCUGACCACCUUGCCAUAGCAUGCUUAUUCUCAUUUGGUUGGUCUUCACUUUUUCCACAAAUUCUUUAUAUCUAAUAUCCAGUCCAAAUUCAAAUCUUUGUAAGUGUCCCAUAGAUUUAUUUUGUGUCUAGUUUGUUUGAUUCAAACGGGAACCCUUCAAGCCAGGCCUGGGUCCUUACAACUUGAUGGUAGUAGUCUUUGGAACUUUCUUGCUCUCUGGCAGACAAGUUGUUCCAGGCUUGCUCUAUGCUUUGUCAUGAACCAGCCAUUUCUCCAAAGAGCCCUGGCUUUUUCAGUUUCCUGCAGUCUUUUGGAGUCACCUACAAACUAGGGCUUGUGAAAGAGCCUGUGGAACCUCAGGCCAGUUUCAUUGGUAUCCUCAGCUUCUUGCUGAUGGUUCCGCUCAGAGUGGAGCUCUCUUCUUGGAGGACGGUAUUAUUUGGUGGCAUUUUCUGUGUUCUGGGUUCCAGAACUCUCACGACCUUGGAACAGCUGCUGAAGCCUGAUGGUGAUUCGACCCACCUCUUCUAGGAUCCGUGGGGAUCCCCUGAUCUUGGUUUUGUUGAAGAUACUGUCCAACGGGAUGUUUCUCCUGCUAUCCUAGUGACUCAGUCCAUUUUUGGCUCUCCAGCUGAGGCCUACAGACUGAUGUGCUCCCUGGCCUGUGCUCCUCCAGGUCCCAAGACCACAAUAAGCAGAAGAUGCAGACCCCAGAUGAAGACCUCUCAAGCUUCUUCCCAGAGCAUCUGGCCCUGGCCACAUGGAGGACUUAGCUGGGCCUCAAUGGCCUCAGGGGGCCAUACCAUAACUGCCCUUCUCUGGGGUCAGGGAUGGAAUCAGCUAAGGAGAGAUGGCAAAAGGGUACUGGAUAGGGGUGGGGCAAGACUAAAGUAAGAUUGAAAAAAAAAAAAAA